CCUACGGGGGGCUGCAGUGAGGAAUAUUGGUCAAUGGACGAGAGUCUGAACCAGCCAAGCAGCGUGAAGGAUGACGGCUCUAUGGGUUGUAAACUUCUUUUAUAAAGGAAUAAAACGAGGCACGUGUGCCUUUUUGCAUGUACUUUAUCAAUCAGGAUCGGCUAACUCCGUGCCAGCAGCCGCGGUAAUACGGAGGAUCCGAGCGUUAUCCGGAUUUAUUGGGUUUAAAGGGAGCGUAGAUGGGUUGUAAAGUCAGUUGUGAAAGAUUGCUGCUCAACCGUAAAAUUGCAAUUGAUACUGGCAGUCUUGAGUACAGUAGAGGUAGGUGGAAUUCGUGGUGUAGCGGUAAAAUGCGUAGAGA
rnacentral:rRNA from 1 species